UCAAAAUUCCUGGUUUGCGUCAACCCCAAAAUGAACCGAUCUGAACCGAUUCCCAUUCGACGGGACCGCUCCUUCGACAGCGUGCUUAACCGCCUGCUGCGGAUGCGCUCCCAGAACCACGAGUCAUUCCGUGCGGCCAUGUACAACUUCCUAAUUGCUGCCGGCGUGGGUGCAUUUGUAGCCGUCUGCUUCAUACUGGGACCCUUUGUGCGACCCCUGCUGUGGGCUUUCCUCAUGGGCGCCGUUUUGUUCCCAUUCAAACGGAGCCUGGCGGAGAGUGUCAAUAAUUGGUUCCAGCGUCUUGAAGAACGUGACUCCAACGUCCUGGUCUCCAUCUGUCUUUCUCCGCUGGAGGCCACAGAGCACUGCGGCCGGCUGUUGAUUGGAUGGCUCUGCGAGCACUGGCAACUGCUCCUCGCCGGAUGCGGAGUGGCGGGCUGUGUUAAACUUCUAGUCCUGUAUGCCCCCAAAGGGUUUCUGAUGGCGCUGUGGCACUGGAUAACAUUUUCGCACGGAUUGUUCGUCCAGAUUAUUGGAUUCCUUAAUGUUUACGUGCUAAUUUCUCUGGUGAUUAUAUACUUGAGUUGUGUCCACUUUUUCUGGAAGCCGGAAAACAGCGCUCACUUUGUUGUUGCUGGCCAAACCAUGUGGGUAGCCAUCGCUGGCUACUUGAGCAGUUUUCUGGGUGCCCUUCAGGUGCCCGUUUUCCUGCUGGUUAUGGCAUAUGUUACGGCAUCGACGGCAUAUCACCUGCAGACAAGAGAGGAAGCCGGCACCUUCUUGACCCGUUUGCAGAAGCUCUUCGACAAGAAUGACUUUGAGCGAUCACUGAGCAACUUUAGCAUUUGCGGAAAACACAGCGGCGAACCCCUCAGUCCUGGGAUUCAAUCCGACGUGGAGGACAUCUCGCUGAGCGACACUGUCGACUCGACUGACACCUUUGAUGCUAAAGCGGAAACUGAGGCUGAGGGCCAUCAGAGCGACUCCUUCUUUAAGCUCUUGUUCUACGCCUGUUUGGGAACAUUCCUUUAUCGCAAUGUUUGGAUGUUUCUGCUGGCAGCCAUACCAGUAUUCCUACACCUCAUCUAUACGGUGGGGGCCUAUACUGGCAUCACCCAAUUCGUGUGCAGCAAGAUCAACGAACUCUAUCUGGCGUUGAGGACUUGGGCCAUUGAACAUCACUCUGCAGUGCUUCCACUAUGCCUUCCCGGAGUUUUGGAGCUAAACUACAAGAUUAAUACGAUCGUACGCGAUUCGCUAAAGUCGUCUGUGGAGUCGGUCACCUCUAUUUUAAUGAUCAUUCUAAUGCUGCUCAUUAUCGUGUUCCUGAGCGUGUUCUUUUGUGUGAACAUAUACUCGGAGACGAUCGAAGUGGCCUACCUUGGCAAGGAUCUAAUUAACAAGACGAUCACAGAUCGGCCUGAGCUAAUUGAUAUCUUGCCCGCCAACAUGCAGGCGUCCAUUGAUGAUGCGCUGGAUAAUGCGCACCAUUAUGGUCGCCGAAAGAUCGAGACGUAUAUAGAUGACUGGCUGGCGGAUGCAGACAAAGUCCAUGCCACCAAAUUGAAGGAGCAAAUUCUCGACGUCUGGGACAGGCUCAUCCAAUAUUGGAUUGAUUUCAACAAGGCGGGAACUUCCUACGGUCCCAGGGUUCCAACUGAUGCGCUCAAGAGCACCUUUGGCGAGAUUGUCGAUAACCCAGUGGCAAAACAGGGCAUCAUUGGAUGGGCGCAGAGCAACACGCAGACAAUACUCGAGGUAGCUGAAUCCCUGUGGCACAUCAUCCGUACAAAUCUAUCCAUGAUUAUGGGCGUUGCGGGCGAGAUUCUCUCUCUGGUCCUGUCCGGUGGACAGGCCUGUAUUGAGUUCAUUCUAGAUAUGAUUGUCUUCUUCACGGCGCUUUUCUAUCUGCUGUCGAGCAGCAAGGAAAAGUACGCCCCCCUGCAGAUCACCAAGUAUCUGGGAUAUUCCAGCUCGGGCAUCAAAAUCGCCGAUGCUCUCGAAAACUCAAUCACUGUGGUACUUGUUUCCAUGUUCAAGUGCUCCACGUUUACGGGGCUGUUUACAUGGCUGGUGCACACGGUCUUCGGAGCAAGAAUUGUAUUCCUGCCCUCCGCUCUGGCAGCCAUGCUAGCUGCUGCUCCGUUCCUAGGGAGCUACUGGUGUGCGGUUCCCGCCUUCUUGGAGCUCUGGCUGGCACAGGAUCGAUUCUAUGCAGGACUCAUACUGUUUCUGCUGCAAUUUUUUGUGCCAUCAUCGUUUGAGACUGCCAUCUACGCCGAUCUGAAGGGUGGAGGGCAUCCCUACUUGAAUGGUCUGGCAAUUGCUGGCGGCAUGUACUGGAUUGGGUGGCAGGGUGCCAUUUUCGGGCCUCUGAUGUUGUGCUUCUUCAUUGGACUCUUCGAGGUGGCCACAUUGGCCAUGCGAAGCCAUCAGGAACCCAGGUAACAUAGGCUUAAGCAAUCAAAGUCGAUGAAUUUAUUUGAUUUGCAUGCAAAGUAUGAAUUUUGUCAAACUUGUGCAGCCCAGGGAUUGACGCCCAGUUCGGAUGAGGAGACGCGGACCACGUGAGUUAGCAUGGAACAGCAACUACGAAUUUCCUUUUAAUACUCGAACUGCAAACUGCAAACUAACCUAAGCUGUGCGGCCAAAGACCUGACAAUCACAUUGAGAUUGGCCGCAUUUAUUAUAACCUAGUGCUAGGAUACAGUUUCCUUCUAUCGUUUUGUGUAUUUGUGCUGUUAAUUAUUCGUUUUAUUUGCCAAUUUGGUUAUUAUUUGUACUAAAAUUGUUAAGUAUUAAAAAUUCCGUCUGUACAGCCAGGAUGAGGAGCUACUAAAAUCUCAGCCUAUCUCUUAAUAGAUAUAAGUGCAAUAUGUACCUCGAAUUAGAAGCUGCUGGUAACUUUGAAAGCGAUUUAGAGCUCACUACUAAUUUCUUAAUGUGAAUUUGUAAAUGUGUGAUUUGUCUAAAUUAGGCUAACAAUAUGUUCCAAAAUAUACUAAAUACUAACUGUA
rnacentral:misc_RNA from 1 species